UACGUAGGGGGCAAGCGUUGUCCGGAUUUAUUGGGCGUAAAGAGCGUGUAGGCGGCCACACAGGUCAGCUGUGAAAACUCGAGGCUCAACCUCGAGACGUCGGUUGAAACCGUAUGGCUAAGAGUCCGGAAGAGGAGAGUGGAAUUCCCGGUGUAGCGGUGAAAUGCGCAGAUAUCGGGAAGAACACCCGUGGCGAAGGCGGCUCUCUGGGACGGUACUGACGCUGAGACGCGGAAAGCGUGGGGAGCGAACAGG
rnacentral:rRNA from 1 species